rnacentral:rRNA from 1 species
AGUGAACGCUGGCGGUAGGCCUAACACAUGCAAGUCGAACGGCAGCACAGUAAGAGCUUGCUCUUACGGGUGGCGAGUGGCGGACGGGUGAGGAAUACAUCGGAAUCUACUUUUUCGUGGGGGAUAACGUAGGGAAACUUACGCUAAUACCGCAUACGACCUACGGGUGAAAGCAGGGGAUCUUCGGACCUUGCGCGAUUGAAUGAGCCGAUGUCGGGUUAGCUAGUUGGCGGGGUAAAGGCCCACCAAGGCGACGAUCCGUAGCUGGUCUGAGAGGAUGAUCAGCCACACUGGAACUGAGACACGGUCCAGACUCCUACGGGAGGCAGCAGUGGGGAAUAUUGGACAAUGGGCGCGAGCCUGAUCCAGCCAUACCGCGUGGGUGAAGAAGGCCUUCGGGUUGUAAAGCCCUUUUGUUGGGAAAGAAAAGCAGCAGGUUAAUACCCCGCUGUUCUGACGGUACCCAAAGAAUAAGCACCGGCUAACUUCGUG